rnacentral:rRNA from 1 species
AUUGAACGCUGGCGGCAUGCCUUACACAUGCAAGUCGAACGGCAGCACGGGAGCAAUCCUGGUGGCGAGUGGCGAACGGGUGAGUAAUAUAUCGGAACGUGCCCAGUCGUGGGGAUAACGUAGCGAAAGCUACGCUAAUACCGCAUACGAUCUAUGGAUGAAAGCGGGGGAUCGCAAGACCUCGCGCGAUUGGAGCGGCCGAUAUCAGAUUAGGUAGUUGGUGAGGUAAAGGCUCACCAAGCCGACGAUCUGUAGCUGGUCUGAGAGGACGACCAGCCACACUGGGACUGAGACACGGCCCAGACUCCUACGGGAGGCAGCAGUGGGGAAUUUUGGACAAUGGGCGCAAGCCUGAUCCAGCAGUGCCGCGUGCAGGAUGAAGGCCU